rnacentral:rRNA from 1 species
GACGAACGCUGGCGGCGUGCUUAACAUAUGCAAGUCGAACGGAAAGGCCCUGCUUUUGUGGGGUGCUCGAGUGGCGAACGGGUGAGUAACACGUGAGUAACCUGCCCUUGACUUUGGGAUAACUUCAGGAAACUGGGGCUAAUACCGGAUAGGAGCUCCUGCUGCAUGGUGGGGGUUGGAAAGUUUCGGCGGUUGGGGAUGGACUCGCGGCUUAUCAGCUUGUUGGUGGGGUAGUGGCUUACCAAGGCUUUGACGGGUAGCCGGCCUGAGAGGGUGACCGGCGACAUUGGGACUAAGAUACGGACCAGACUCCUACGGGAGGCAGCAGUGGGGAAUAUUGCACAAUGGGCGGAAGCCUGAUGCAGCAACGCCGCGUGCGGGAUGACGGCCUUCGGGUUGUAAACCGCUUUCGCCUGUGACGAAGCGUGAGUGACGGUAAUGGGUAAAGAAGCACCGGCUAACUACGUG